UUGUCGAUACCUAUCAAUCAGAUUGACCAUGCGAACUCGUGAUGCCCAACUAUCGGGGGCGGUGUUCAACCAACCCCGUCCCUUUGCGCUGCGGGAUGCUCUUGUCUCAAGCCUUGAGCAAUCAGGUUUGUUGACGGUACAUUCAGCGGCUGACUUAGGGAGGCCGAACAACAACUCGGCGCGGUUAGCGCCAAGGAUUUGGAAUUACAUGUGUGCCAUUCUCAUUCGUGGGUCUGUCGCUACAUCAAUCUAAUAAAUCACGACUCUCGGCAACGGAUAUCUUGGCUCUUGCAUCGAUGAAGAACGUAGCGAAAUGCGAUACUUGGUGUGAAUUGCAGAAUCCCGUGAACCAUCGAGUCUUUGAACGCAAGUUGCGCCCGAGACCUUUAGGUUGAGGGCACACCUGCUUGGGCGUCAUGCUAUGCGUCGCUCCCACAUCCAUCUCGGAUAUAGGACGCGGAGAUUGGCUAUCCGUUCAAAUCCUUGCGCGGUUUGCCUAAAAUUUGGACCUACGGUGGACUGCGACACGUCCAGUGGUGGUUGUUGGCUUAUCAAGCCGCGAUUGACAGAAGGACGUGUCGAUGCCCCGCCUCAAAGGUUUGCCUUCGGAACCCAAGUCGGGGGUCUUUUGACUUUCGAACAGCGACCCCA
rnacentral:rRNA from 1 species